UCUGAAGGAAACAUGGGUUUGUGCUUGCUAGAAGCUAUAGCACCACCUUGUGGAAAUACAUACUUCAGAGCACAAGUUGUCCACCCCCAACCCCAGCUUCUUUUCAGGGUUACAAAUGUCUUAUAGAAUGUACUGGAAAAUAUUCUGUGCUUUUAGGGCAUGUUUGCAUCAAUGACCUGAAAAGUAUUUUGAGUUUGCAGCCUUUCACUUGGAUCUAUAGGUUGAUCUGUAUCCCUGCAUGAAGAGAUUGCUUGCUUAUUUUUCUGGAUGAACUACCUCUCCAGUCUCCUGUUGCUGUUGCUUCCAAUAGUUUGAUAUACAAACAGUGCUUUAAUAAGUAUCCUGUACAUGUUAGUCUACCUGUGGGGUAUAUUUCUGGAGAUGGAAUUUUUGGGUCAAAUGAUGUAUACAUUUAGAAUUGUGGUAGACAUGAGUGGACUAUUUUCCAUGCAGUUUUAGACAAACAUUCAGCAAUGUGUGAUGCCCCAUAAAUCAUCAGCAACUGUACUGCUGGUAUGUGUGUGUGUGUUCAUGAAUGUGUGUACAUGUAUGUUCAGAUGCAUGUAUAUAUAUAUUCAUAUGCAUAUGGCUAGAAGUUGAUGCCAGGUGUCUGAUAUCACUGUCCAAUUUAUUUUGUGAGACAGGCUCUCAGUGAACAUGGAGACAUUAAGCAUGAAGAGCCCACCUAUCUCUGAAUCCUGGUGUGUGCUGCCCUUCUCCACUUCCUUAUGGGACUUUUAGGGACUCUAAUUGAGGUUUUCCUGUUGCUCAUGCGCCAUCUCCCCAACUCACUAACUGUAUUUUUUUUUUUAAAUCUUCAUUUCUUUGUUAAUGUGAUAGAGAAACUAUAUUCCAAUGCAGUUCACUGUUAUAGGUUUUAUGGUAUUCUUCUCAUAAAUGUGUUUGUAUAAACUCAAAGAUGUUCAUGAAACCUCACUACCCAAAUCGAUUCUUUUCUCUAAAGCUCGUUGGAAUAUUGAUGGCUGAUAAUUUACAUGGGUAAGAGACACAUACACUUCAGAGUCUCUUAUAUUUCCUGAACUAAUUUUGAUUAGUAAAUUCUCAUUCUUCUUAAUGAUGUUGUCACAGAGGCUGAGGACCCAGCUUCUCAGCAACUCAGUGGUUCAACACAUGCCUAGAGCAUGCAUGAAUUCCUGAGUUCCAUCCACAGCAUUGGCAUAAAGAGUUGUCACUGGGACUUAACUGCUGAGAGAUGGCUCAGUGGUUAAGAGCAUGUCCUGAGGUCAAAUCCCAGCAACCACAUGGUGGCUCACAGCCAUCUGUAAUGAGAUAAGCUUCCCUUUUCUGGUGUGUCUGAAGAGAGCUGCAGCGCACUUACAUACAAUAAAUAAAUAAAUCUUUAAAAAAACCC
rnacentral:lncRNA from 1 species